GGGCUCGCAGGCGGUUUCUUAAGUCUGAUGUGAAAGCCCCCGGCUCAACCGGGGAGGGUCAUUGGAAACUGGGAAACUUGAGUGCAGAAGAGGAGAGUGGAAUUCCACGUGUAGCGGUGAAAUGCGUAGAGAUGUGGAGGAACACCAGUGGCGAAGGCGACUCUCUGGUCUGUAACUGACGCUGAGGAGCGAAAGCGUGGGGAGCGAACAGGAUUAGAUACCCUGGUAGUCCACGCCGUAAACGAUGAGUGCUAAGUGUUAGGGGGUUUCCGCCCCUUAGUGCUGCAGCUAACGCAUUAAGCACUCCGCCUGGGGAGUACGGUCGCAAGACUGAAACUCAAAGGAAUUGACGGGGGCCCGCACAAGCGGUGGAGCAUGUGGUUUAAUUCGAAGCAACGCGAAGAACCUUACCAGGUCUUGACAUCCUCUGACAACCCUAGAGAUAGGGCUUUCCCUUCGGGGACAGAGUGACAGGUGGUGCAUGGUUGUCGUCAGCUCGUGUCGUGAGAUGUUGGGUUAAGUCCCGCAACGAGCGCAACCCUUGAUCUUAGUUGCCAGCAUUCAGUUGGGCACUCUCAGGUGACUGCCGGUGACACACCGGAGGAAGGUGGGGAUGACGUCAAAUCAUCAUGCCCCUUAUGACCUGUGCUACACACGUGCUACAAUGGACAGAACAAA
rnacentral:rRNA from 1 species